UCAAUUUGAAAUUUGAAAUGAACGCUUUAUGUUCUUUCAUUUGAUAUGCGACAACCUUACCAUCUGAGAAAUUUGAAUUUUUGCACUAAAUAACCCCACUCUUCCACCUGGGAUGAAAAAGAGGUUUAAAAUUUUCAUUUUUAAGUAGAGUUUAUUGAGACCGUCAAUUUGAUAUAUCAAAUGACCCCAUUUGACAAAGUGCCAAAAAUGAUGCAAUAUCAACUAUAUAAAUAGAACUUAUGAAACUCACAAAGUCAAUGCAAAACCGGAAAUUUUCAAAUUGAAUUUUUUGUGUUUUUUUCCAUGGAAUAUUUUUGGUAUUUGGUCAAACAUAUAACUAUGUUAACCUCUUCAAUUUCUAAAACAUUUUAAGUGGUAAGCUGUUGUCGAUUCCGAAAUACAUGCUCCCGCUCGCAAAAUUUCAAACUGCAUUAUCUUGCAAACGACAAUAGAUAUCUCAAAUCUGUUAAAUGGUAAAUGAUCUACAGUUAAAGGACAACAUUAUAGAAAAAGGAUUGGGACAAUUUCAAAGUUCACCAAGGUCACAAUUAAUCAUCAAAUAUAUGAUGCAAUACCAAACUUGAGAACCGGAAGUCGUAGAGACAUGGGACUACCACCAUUCACCUCAGGACCACUUGACCUUUCAAAUAUCACAAGGUCAAGGUCAUAGUAUACUGUGAAGGUCAAGGUGAAAUUUCAUCAUGACCUGACAUUGACCUCAAAUUGACGGUCUUGAAUUACUGACCAUCUUUGCAGUUUAUAGUAGGUUGAUAUCUGUUACCUUUAAGAAGAUAUACACAAAAUAAUAUACUUUUAAGAAUCAUCCCGUUGUAACUUUGAACAGACAGUCGGACAUUUUUGGACUUAUCAUAUAAAAUGUAGAGCUCGUCGAGAGGAACAUUUUAUACGCUGUAUGUAUGCAGCAAAGUCUUAUUGUUUUCCUAAUAUGUAAGCUUGAAAUUGCAGCGUAAUUUUUUUUUGCACUCAGUGACCUUUGACCUUGACGGCAUAUUAAAGGUCACAUGAAUUAAAGAUUAUUGGUGAAGGUCCCAAGUCUCUACGACUUCUGAUUCUCGAAAUACAAUUUUUCUAAAAUUAUGUACAAUUUUUCAAGGGAAAUAACUCCUUAUAAGGGUUAAUAACAAAAUGAUUGUACAUGUUCAUUAACAUUGCCAUCUGUUCCUGUACAUGUUGCCGUUUUCAAAUCGAUUCUAUCUCUUAUACUUUUUGAGAAAAACGCAAAGGAAAGAAAUUGUUUCAAGGGGAUAUAACUCUCAUAGGGGACAAUGAAAUCCUAUUCAGCCUCACAUGGUUAUACAUCAUGAUGAGAUCUACAUUAUGUCCAAUCAAGGUCAUGACAUCUUUAAAACCAACGAGGGGGGGCAAUGUUGAAAAAAAUCAAUAAAAGGGAGAUAACUCCUAAAGGGGAUGAUGAAAUCCUUAACAGGGUCAUUUGGUAAUACAUCUUGGUGAGGUCUAGCUAUGGUCCAUAUUUGGUCUUUAUAACUUCAACAGAAACAAGAGGCGGGCAUGUCAAAAAAAUGUUGGAAGAAAAAAAAGAAAAAGAAAAAACGGAAGAAAAACAAUAAGGUCUUUCCUUUGUAGAGGAAAGACCUUAAAAAAACAUUAGAAAAACAAUAAGGUCUUUCCCAUGUAGGGGAAAGACCUUAAAUAUGAUUAACAAUAACACAACAGGACACUGGCGGGAUGUAUAAAUAUCGAGCCACGCAAAAACGAUAUUACUAAAAAUGGAAUACACAAUAUGUAUGGGAAGCCGUUUUACUAUUUAUUAUAACUUCAGGAUAAUCUCACAUCUAUAAUACUAAAAUAACGAUCGCCAGGUCCAAUUAAAUGUCAGCCGUCAUGACUUAAAAACGCCGGACGAAUUAAAGAAUUUAACUUUAUAUGUAACUAAUGACCCCCGCCACUAAUAUAGGACAAUGGUGUUAACCAAAUUUUCACCAUUCCCGAUACAUUCCCGGCCCUUUUGAUUUCCUCAUAUUAAUAUAUAGUAUGAAAUUCAAAACAGUGUAGCUGUGGCCAUUGAUUGACACAUUUUAAAAAAUCAUUCAUUGACUGGGACAAUUUAGGUGAACGUUUGUAUGUAACGACCA
rnacentral:lncRNA from 1 species